AGCGAACGCUGGCGGCAGGCCUAACACAUGCAAGUCGAGCGGCCGUAGCAAUACGGCAGCGGCAGACGGGUGAGUAACGCGUGGGGAUCUGCCCAAUGGUACGGAAUAACCCAGGGAAACUUGGAUUAAUACCGUAUGUGCCCUUCGGGGGAAAGAUUUAUCGCCAUUGGAUGAACCCGCGUCGGAUUAGCUAGUUGGUGAGGUAAAGGCUCACCAAGGCGACGAUCCGUAGCUGGUCUGAGAGGAUGAUCAGCCACACUGGGACUGAGACACGGCCCAGACUCCUACGGGAGGCAGCAGUGGGGAAUAUUGGACAAUGGGCGCAAGCCUGAUCCAGCCAUGCCGCGUGAGUGAUGAAGGCCUUAGGGUUGUAAAGCUCUUUCGCCGGUGAAGAUAAUGACGGUAACCGGAGAAGAAGCCCCGGCUAACUUCGUGCCAGCAGCCGCGGUAACAC
rnacentral:rRNA from 1 species